CUUCCCCGUCUGGCUAUCCACUCGCUAGAAGGAAAAGAAAAAUUAGAAACCCAUGUGCCGCCUGGCUCCAGACGGACUCCGUUGUCGCCGCCACCGCCAUCGCCACCUGUGCCCCUCCACUGCCGACGUCGCAGCCCCGCCCCCACCGACACCACGGCCCCACGCCGUCACGCCGCCGCUGAACCCACAUCGAGCUGCACUCUCCAUCAACAGUUGGCUCCUCCAUUCUCGUCCUCACCCGCCUGAUUUGCCUCUGGUCUCCUGCCAUUGAUGAGAGCACACUGUGUCCUAGGAUGCUGAGCGGGAUUCUAACGCUCUCUCAUAGUAGAUGAGAGCAGGUCGGGCAGGCCUGGGGCCAUCGGGGAGGCGAGGGAUCGAGCUCACUAUCCGCCAUGGACGAGGAGGACGACGACAUGGACGGCGCCGAUGUUGGUAUGGCCGCCACCCUGGACAACACAGUGAAGCUGCAGAAGCUCGACGAGAUGAAGUGCAGACUAAAGGAGAUGGAGGAGGAGGUCGCUGCCCUUCGCGAUACAUAGGCCAAUGUCACCAAGGCGAUGCAAGGUCCUAUAGCUGGCAGGCAACACAUACAGCUUGUUGUGCGCAACAAUGAUGAGCUAACCAAGUUUCUUGGUGCCAUCACCAUGCUGCCGGUAGUGUGUUACUGAACUACGAGACACUACUGCCCAAGAAGGCUGGAGGCAAGGAUGAGGCUGAUAUUGGCUCAUCGUAGAUUAAAUACACCUUUGUGCUAAGCAUAAUGGGACAAAUAUGCCAAAUUGUCAUCAAUUUGUCUAGGCAUAAAUGGAAAGGGAAGGGACGGUUCUUGCAGAGUAGAGGGAAAGGAAAACAAGGCAUCCAUUUAUUUUGAACCAUCGAAUCAACACCAUGAGACAUUUAAUCUAAAUGAUAUUUACUCUUUAUCAGGUUUGGAGCUCCCUUAUGGAUUUAUCUGGUUUUCGAGUCAGAUGAAUUUGCAUGGCAUAAUAGCAUACAUGGAGGUCAUCAUGUGGUUACAGGCUUCUGCAAUAUGGGUUGUGUGCACAGAUUGGAGAGACUUUUUCUGAAUAAACGCACAUGGAUAGCAAGGUUGGUCCGGAUAAGCUCUGUUUGUUUGAAUGGAAUCCAAUAAUAACUGUAUUAGAGGGCAAAUGAGUCAGUGCACUUAUGUUUGAAUGAGUGUAGUGCCAUUAUUAGAAACAGAAAUGACUUAACCAGAUUAGUGACAAUCAGUGUACAACUAGACUUCUGAAAAGAAUUCAGCUCUAACUCAACACAAAUACUUUCAUCAGUGGUACUUGUUCCAUUGCCAACAUAUCUUUGGGAGGCCAAAUUUUUUGCUUGAGUAUCAGCUUGGAUCCUUUGUUUUCCUGGGAAAUCAUAAUGGUCCUGCACAAUGUCAAAAGUCCACUCACCUUUUUUUAGAACAUUUAAGUGAGAAACAUUUUGAGAUCAAAUGAAUAGCAGCAUUAUGUUGCCAUAUAUUGUUUCAAAUGAAUAGCAGCAUUAUCUUGUA